UACAGAGGUGGCAAGCGUUGUUCGGAAUUACUGGGCGUAAAGGGCGCGUAGGCGGCCCUCUUAGUCGGACGUGAAAUCCCCAGGCUUAACUUGGGAAUUGCGCUCGAAACUACGUGGCUCGAGUGUGGCAGAGGAAGGUGGAAUUCCACGUGUAGCGGUGAAAUGCGCAGAGAUGUGGAGGAACACCGAUGGCGAAGGCAGCCUUCUGGGCCAACACUGACGCUCAUGCACGAAAGCGUGGGGAGCAAACAGG
rnacentral:rRNA from 1 species